rnacentral:tRNA from 1 species
AGAGAAUUAGUUAAUUAUUUAACAUUAAAUUGUCAAUUUAAAAUUAUUAUCCUACAAAUAAUAUUCUUUU